rnacentral:rRNA from 1 species
UGGGCGUUAAGUUGCAGGGUAUAGACCCGAAACCCGGUGAUCUAGCCAUGGGCAGGUUGAAGGUUGGGUAACACUAACUGGAGGACCGAACCGACUAAUGUUGAAAAAUUAGCGGAUGACCUGUGGCUGGGGGUGAAAGGCCAAUCAAACCGGGAGAUAGCUGGUUCUCCCCGAAAGCUAUUUAGGUAGCGCCUCGUGAAUUCAUCUCCGGGGGUAGAGCACUGUUUCGGCUAGGGGGCCAUCCCGGCUUACCAACCCGAUGCAAACUGCGAAUACCGGAGAAUGUUAUCACGGGAGACACACGGCGGGUGCUAACGUCCGUCGUGAAGAGGGAAACAACCCAGACCGCCAGCUAAGGUCCCAAAGUCAUGGUUAAGUGGGAAACGAUGUGGGAAGGCCCAGACAGCCAGGAUGUUGGCUUAGAAGCAGCCAUCAUUUAAAGAAAGCGUAAUAGCUCACUGGUCGAGUCGGCCUGCGCGGAAGAUGUAACGGGGCUAAACCAUGCACCGAAGCUGCGGCAGCGAACGUAUCACCCAAGACAACUUUACGGAGUUGACGAUUGACGGAGCGAAGCGACGUCAAAGCGUUCAUUAAAGUCGAGUUGGCUUAGGG